AUUGAACGCUGGCGGCAGGCCUAACACAUGCAAGUCGAGCGGAUGAAGGGAGCUUGCUCCUGGAUUCAGCGGCGGACGGGUGAGUAAUGCCUAGGAAUCUGCCUGGUAGUGGGGGAUAACGUCCGGAAACGGGCGCUAAUACCGCAUACGUCCUGAGGGAGAAAGUGGGGGAUCUUCGGACCUCACGCUAUCAGAUGAGCCUAGGUCGGAUUAGCUAGUUGGUGGGGUAAAGGCCUACCAAGGCGACGAUCCGUAACUGGUCUGAGAGGAUGAUCAGUCACACUGGAACUGAGACACGGUCCAGACUCCUACGGGAGGCAGCAGUGGGGAAUAUUGGACAAUGGGCCAAAGCCUGAUCCAGCCAUGCCGCGUGUGUGAAGAAGGUCUUCGGAUUGUAAAGCACUUUAAGUUGGGAGGAAGGGCAGUAAGUUAAUACCUUGCUGUUUUGACGUUACCAACAGAAUAAGCACCGGCUAACUUCGU
rnacentral:rRNA from 1 species